rnacentral:tRNA from 1 species
CAUUAAGUGGCUGAAAUAUUUAAGCAUUGGUCUCUUAAACCAAUAUAUAGUAUAUUAAAUUAGUUUAAACU